UACGAGGGGAGCAAGCGUUGUUCGGAUUUACUGGGCGUAAAGGGCGCGUAGGCGGCGCAACAAGUCACUUGUGAAAUCUCCGGGCUUAACUCGGAACGGUCAAGUGAUACUGUUGUGCUAGAGUGCGGAAGGGGCAACUGGAAUUCUCGGUGUAGCGGUGAAAUGCGUAGAUAUCGAGAGGAACACCUGCGGCGAAGGCGGGUUGCUGGGCCGACACUGACGCUGAUGCGCGAAAGCCAGGGGAGCGAACGGG
rnacentral:rRNA from 1 species